GCCGGGCAUGAUGGCACGUGCCUGUAGUCCCAGCUACUCGGGAGGCUGAGGUGGGAGGAUCAUUUGAGCCCAGAAGUUCUGGGCUGUAGUGUACUAUGCCGAUUGGGUGUCCACACUAAGUUCAGCAUCAGUAUGGUGACCUUCCGGGAGCCGGGGACCACCAGGUUGCCUAAGGAGGAAUGAACUGGCCCAGGUUGGAAACGGAGCAGGUCAAAACUCCCAUGCUGACCAGUAGUGGGAUCACACCUGUGAAUAGACACUGCACUCCAGCCCAAGCAACAUAGCGAGACCCUGUCUCU
rnacentral:SRP_RNA from 1 species